rnacentral:rRNA from 1 species
ACGGGAAGACGCUUGAGCGUAAGCACAGGUAGACAGCAUGGAAGUGAGGAUGCCGGAAUAAGUAGCGAAAAGGGGAGUGAGAAUCUCCCCCGCCGAAAGCCUAAGGGUUCUUAAGGAAGGAUCGUCCACUUGAGUUUAGUCGGGCCUAAGCCGAGUCCCUGGUAAGGGGGGUAGGCGAUGGACAACUGGUGUAUAUUCCAGUACCAGGAUUAUGCGUUAUGAGUGAAGUGGGGACGCGGACGAAGUAUCUGAGCAGCACUGUUGGUAGAUGCUGUUUUUCUGAAGGUCUGAGCAGGGAGGCAAAUCCCCUUGCACAAAAGGGCUGUCAGGGAAGGAAUUGAAGAGAAAUCAGAGAUGAAGCAGGGAUGGAAUCCGCCUAGAAAAGCCGCUAGCCAGCAUAAUUCUGACCGUACCGCAAACCGACACAGGUAGGCAGGUAGAGGAUACUAAGGCGAGCGAGAUAACUCUCAUUAAGGAACUAGGCAAGUUAACCCCGUAACUUUGGGAGAAGGGGUGCCUUGGCUGAAAUAAGCUGAAACGCUGAAAGGCAGCUGAGGUCGCAGUGACAAGGCUCGAGCGACUGUUUACCAAAAACACAGGUCUCUGCAAAGGGGAAACCCUAAGUAUAGGGGCUGACGCCUGCCCAAUGCUAGAAGGUUAAUAGGAGAGGUCAACGCAAGUGAAGCCUUGAAUUGAAGCCCUGGUGAAUGGCGGCCGUAACUAUAACGGUCCUAAGGUAGCGAAAUUCCUUGUCGGGUAAGUUCCGACCCGCACGAAUGGCGUAACGACUUGAGCGCUGUCUCAACGAGAGACUCGGUGAAAUUGUAGCAUGCGUGAAGAUGCGCAUUACCCGCGACAGGACGGAAAGACCCCGUGGAGCUUUACUACACUUUGACAUUGGAUUUUGGGAUAUUAUGUAGAGAAUAGGUGGGAGAGGAAACUCAUCAGUGGAAUACCACCCUUGAUAUCUUGGAACUCUAACCUGAGCAGUUAUCCUGCGAAGAGACAGUGUCAGACGGGUAGUUUGACUGGGGCGGUCGCCUCCCAAAAUGUAACGGAGGCGUCCAAAGGAUCCCUCAGCCUGGUUGGAAAUCAGGUGUCGGUAUAAGGGCAUAAGGGAUCUUAACUGCGAGAGAGACAUCUCGAGCAGAUGCGAAAGCAGGGCCUAGUGAUCCUACGGCAACGAGUGGAAGUGCCGUGGCUCAUCGGAUAAAAGUUACCCCGGGGAUAACAGGCUUAUCUUGCCCAAGCGCUCACAGCGACGGCAAGGUUUGGCACCUCGAUGUCGGCUCGUCGCAUCCUGGGGCUGGAUUAGGUCCCAAGGGUUAGGCUGUUCGCCUAUUAAAGCGGUACGCGAGCUGGGUUCAGAACGUCGUGAGACAGUUCGGUCCCUAUCCGUCGUGGGCGUAAGAAGUUUGAGGGGAGCUGUCCCUAGUACGAGAGGACCGGGAUGGACAGACCUCUGGUGUACCGGUUGUUCCGCCAGGAGCAUAUGCCGGGUAGCUAUGUUUGGAAGUGAUAAGCGCUGAGAGCAUCUAAGCGCGAAGUACACCCCAAGAUAGACUUCUCAUCCGGUUAACGGAGUAAGACUCCAGGCAGAUUACCUGGUUGAUAGGCAGCAUGUGCAAGCACAGCAAUGUGUUCAGCUUAGCUGUACUAAUAAGUCGAGGGCUUGAUCUC